UUAAAACAAUCAAUUAUUUCAAAAAUAAAUAAAUAAAUACUUAAAAAAUAUUGUCCUUCUUUUUUUUUUUUUUUUUCCAUCUGGUAUUAUUAAAACGGACCGAAGCCCAAACACAAAAACAAACAGCCUAUAGAAAGGCUCCAAACACAAAAUCCAAACAAAAUUAACCCUAAAAGCCCACAUACUGGCCCAAUCUACAAUGACCCAAACCAACACGUGCCACCGCUUUGUCUCUCCCAAGAAGAGACGUGUAGAAGCCUCACCAGCGAGGCACGACACGCGUCACGAAAUCUUUAGCCACCACCGCCAAAAGAAACACGCCGGAAACUGAACGGCGUUUCACCGGACCUCUCCGGAAACUGAACGGCGUUUCACCAGUCUACGCCGGGAGCAAGCGCUUACCCAAACUCACCACUUCAUCUUUGCUUCUUUUCACCGGAGAGCGUCAACGAGGAGUCGAGACCUCAUCCAAAAGCGAAGCCAUCACCCAACCGAUUAGAAAUCUCUCCCUCACCCUUUAUGCACCAUCACCGCUUUAAUUCAGAUAAUCAGAGAGCAUCAACCAAACAAAUCGAGAGCUCAUCCGUCCCAUGAAGCACGAAAUCAACCGAAACACCACUCGAGAACCAGAGAAAACAACAAGAACCGCCAUCGAAACGCGAGAACCGUACGACGCGGAGAAGAAGCCGGCGAGACAGAUUCAAAAGGAAUCACCUUUUCCCGGAAACAAAUCCGGCGAAGCCUAACAACGGCUUCCCAAAAGCACAACCAACAAAACGGAAGCGAUGAACCGAUAGAGCAUCAGAGAAAGCUUCAUCUCAUCUCAGAGAGGAGAGAGAGAGAAGUCCCGAUCUCCUUUCGUCACCAUUUUCCACCUUCUAUUAGUUAAUUCAAACAACUCUAAAAAAUAUUGCAGAAAUAUUACAUCUAUAAUUUCAAUGUUAUUUGUGUGGAGGAUAAUUAAAGUACACGUGGACCAAUAAUAGGUGAGAUGUCGCUUGUCAAUAAAAACGGGCCCACUGGACCUCAUCUCAAUUGUGAAAUUACGGAUGUUUCAGACGUCGAUAUCUUGACACGUCACCGACGUCCCUUAAUUUUCAUUCACUUGAUCUGAAACUACGAGAAUAGACAAAAAAAUGCCAGAUAUUUACGAGUUACGUACAUUGUAUACUUUUUUUUUUAUCAUCUGUAUUAUAAUAAUAAACAACAUUACAAAAGGCCCAUAAAAGAGACCCAAAACAUUACAGCAAAGCCUCAAAGAUGGGCAACAACAACAAAGAGACCAAACUCGGUCCAACCAGGCCCAGACAAAAAAAAACCAAAAGAAGACACCUUCCACUUUCUCGCCACGCGAAACUGAAUAGCGUGAAAAAGACAACACGUGGUAAAAGGGAACGCACGUGUCAAAAGAGUGGCCAUCGAUUUCAGAAGAAGAAAGUCAUCACCGGAACGACUUCCGGACGGCCACCGGAACACACCGGAAACAGGACGCCGCAGAAGAAGUAACCGUCGGAUGACUUCAGCUGAUUAAGAACCACACCACUAGACGACUUCACCGAUAAAAACGUCUUCGAUAAUUUCCAAUCGUGUUCCACCGGAGACAAACCGGAACAGGAACCCAAUUAAAGAGAUCGCCGGAAACGAGAAUAGCAAUUAAGGGAGCAGUCGCCAAAACGCCUUAACCAUUAACACCAGAUCUCGGAGAAGAAGAUAGAUCGUCGGAAUCGAAGCCAGCGGUCAUCGAUAGGAAGAUGCUCCGCCGGAGUCAGAAGCCGGAUUGCUCCGUCUAAGGAAGACGCAAACAACCGGAGCCAAAAGCCGACCAACAGUGCUAAGGGAGUCACCAGAUGUCGGAACUGGAUCUUCGUCGCUGGCCAAAGGAAGCCGGAGAAGAUCAACGGAGGCUAGCAGCCACCACGAGAAGUGAUGACUCUAGAGACGGAAGCCGGACAAAUCGAUUCUGUAGUAGCCACCGUUUGCCGGAGUCAAAGCCCGACCAUGCGGGAAUCUGAAGCCGGAACAUAACCGGCUUUCGAAAGUCGGACUCUCUCUCUGAAAAAUAGAGAUGAGAGAAGAGAGAGAGCCCUCUUUUUACGUACAUUGUAUACUUAUCAUGUUAUGUGCUACUACUUAUAAUUUUCAUAAUACGAACAAAAUGAUAAUGCAACAUCCAACAAACUAGAAUACUAGAUAAUAGUAUAAUAUAUCAUAGAAAUAAAGUAUUUGUAAUUGGUAAAUAUGCCGAACGAUUAUCUGAUUAUAGCAACGGCAAAAAAAAAAAAAAUUCUGAUCAUAACAAAACACGUGGGGUCGC
rnacentral:lncRNA from 1 species